GACGUUUUGGAUUCAUACGGAGAUUUAAUCAAACACCAGUCCACCAGAGUUGAUGAGACUCCCAAGAUAAGUGAAGUG
rfam:Schistosoma margrebowiei strain Zambia genome assembly, scaffold: SMRZ_contig0000743